rnacentral:tRNA from 1 species
GGGGCUGUAGCUCAGUGGUAGAGCACUUGCCUCACAUGUGUGAGGCACUGAGUUUGAUCCUCAGCAUCACA